rnacentral:rRNA from 1 species
CUGGCGGCAGGCCUAACACAUGCAAGUCGAGCGCACCCCUUCGGGGCGAGCGGCGGACGGGUUAGUAACGCGUGGGAACAUACCCUUUUCUACGGAAUAGCCUCGGGAAACUGAGAGUAAUACCGUAUAAGCCCUUCGGGGGAAAGAUUUAUCGGGAAAGGAUUGGCCCGCGUUAGAUUAGAUAGUUGGUGGGGUAAUGGCCUACCAAGUCUACGAUCUAUAGCUGGUUUUAGAGGAUGAUCAGCAACACUGGGACUGAGACACGGCCCAGACUCCUACGGGAGGCAGCAGUGGGGAAUCUUAGACAAUGGGCGCAAGCCUGAUCUAGCCAUGCCGCGUGUGUGAUGAAGGCCUUAGGGUCGUAAAGCACUUUCGCCAGAGAUGAUAAUGACAGUAUCUGGUAAAGAAACCCCGGCUAACUCCGUGCCAGCAGCCGCGGUAAUACGGAGGGGGUUAGCGUUGUUCGGAAUUACUGGGCGUAAAGCGUACGUAGGCGGAUCAGAAAGUAUAGGGUGAAAUCCCGAGGCUCAACCUCGGAACUGCCUUGUAAACUCCUGGUCUUGAGUUCGAGAGAGGUGAGUGGAAUUCCAAGUGUAGAGGUGAAAUUCGUAGAUAUUUGGAGGAACACCAGUGGCGAAGGCGGCUCACUGGCUCGAUACUGACGCUGAGGUACGAAAGUGUGGGGAGCAAACAGGAUUAGAUACCCUGGUAGUCCACACCGUAAACGAUGAAUGCCAGUCGUCGGGCAGUAUACUGUUCGGUGACACACCUAACGGAUUAAGCAUCC